CCAAACAAGAUCUGGCUUUCCUUUGGGCAGUUUGCUUGACUUGAAAGGAUGGAGGAUCUACCUAGGAUCCAGAAAAUCUACUCCCAGCCUAUAGCUCGUGGGCAGGCCGGGGCGGAUCGCCAGGACACGGGAGAGGAGGACCGGGAUUGCGGAAGGUGAACUCCGCGGCGAACUGCACCCAUCUGCACCGCCCCGGCCGCCUGGGGGUCCGCGCGGAGGCUGGACAGAAGGGAUGAGAAAUGUACAGGAGGAGCCGGUGAGCAGCUUGAUGGUGCGGUUCUGGCCGAAGCGCUGCCCGUCCACCUUGUAGAAGACCGGGCCAUCGUUGGGCUGGAUGCGCAGCGCGAUGGAGAGGCGCACCAGGCCGG